rnacentral:ribozyme from 1 species
UGCCCAGCAACUCCUAUCCCUACCUCCACGCGGUACCGGCCGGAAACUAUGAGCAACCUUAGGGAAGAUUGGGUAACCAACCCCGAUGGGAACUUUGGUCGUAGGCUGACAGGGAAGG